GCCUUCAUGGUAUAGUGGGUCAGCACGCUCGACGCGUAACCGAGAGGUCCAUGGUUCGAUUCCUGGCGAAGACG
rnacentral:tRNA from 1 species